rnacentral:rRNA from 1 species
GAUGAACGCUAGCGGCAGGCCUAACACAUGCAAGUCGAGGGGUAACAGAGAGUGCUUGCACUUUGCUGACGACCGGCGCACGGGUGCGUAACGCGUAUACAAUCUACCUUUUGGUCUGGGACAACAGUUGGAAACGACUGCUAAUACCGGAUGUGCUCUACGGAGGAAAGAUUUAUCGCCAAAAGAUUAGCCCGCGCUAGAUUAGCUUGUUGGUGAGGUAAUGGCUCACCAAGGCUCCGAUCUAUAGCUGGUCUGAGAGGAUGAUCAGCCACACUGGGACUGAGAUACGGCCCAG